CAAAAGAUAGUUUAAAUUAAAAUAAUAGCAUUGGAAGCUAUAGAUUAAAAUUAUAAUUUUUAUUUUUUGA
rnacentral:tRNA from 1 species